rfam:Hordeum vulgare subsp. vulgare, WGS project CAJW01000000 data, contig: morex_contig_52606
CUUAUACUCCAUCCGUUCAAAAAUACUUGUCAUAUGCAUGUAUGUAUCUAGAUGUAUUUUAGUUCUAGAUACAUUUAUUUUUAUCUAUUUGUGUGACAAGUAAUUUCGGACGGAGGGAGUAGUAU